rnacentral:tRNA from 1 species
GCCGGGAUAGCUCAGUUGGUAGAGCAGAGGACUGAAAAUCCUCGUGUCAACAGUUCAA